CUACCCUUGACAUGUAUGGAACCCUGCUGAAAGGUGGGGGUGCCCGAAAGGGAGCCAUAACACAGGUGCUGCAUGGCUGUCGUCAGCUCGUGUCGUGAGAUGUUGGGUUAAGUCCCGCAACGAGCGCAACCCUUGUCCCUAGUUGCUACGCAAGAGCACUCUAGGGAGACUGCCGGUGACAAACCGGAGGAAGGUGGGGAUGACGUCAAGUCCUCAUGGCCCUUAUGGGUAGGGCUUCACACGUCAUACAAUGGUCGGAACAGAGGGUCGCCAACCCGCGAGGGGGAGCCAAUCCCAGAAAACCGAUCGUAGUCCGGAUCGCACUCUGCAACUCGAGGGCGUGAAGUUGGAAUCGCUAGUAAUCGCGGAUCAGCAUGCCGCGGUGAAUACGUUCCC
rnacentral:rRNA from 1 species